GGCGGCAGUUCCCAGGCAAUGGGACUACUCCUAUGCAGUGGCAUCGAUGGCUGCAUCUGCACGGUGAUUGUUUCUUCUUCACCCAGCAACACCACUCCAACUGCUUUAAUGGCAGGCAUAUGCUCUUUCUUUUCUCUAUCUCUCAUCUCAGUAACAUGCAAAUGCCAAACCAGAAAUCGUUGAGCGUAAUUCAGAAUUUUACCCAGUAAUCUCAGUAACGUGCAAAUGCCAUACCAGAAUUUUCUGUAUGCUCUUCUCCGUUAUUUUGCUUAAACAAAUUUGUAAAUCAUUGUUUUGUUCCUAGCUAAUGCAGGGAAUCCCUUCAAAUUACUGAAGAUAAAUGGCAUCUAUUUGUUCAAUUAAGUUCGAGCAACAGUGGUCUUUAUGUGUUGUUAAAAUACCUAUAUGUAAUACGGUGUACAGCCAUAUAUAUAUAUAUUGAUUAGCAAAUGCAUUGACUGAACUGGUACUGUUGACAAACUGAUCUGUUUAAGUAACAAUGAAUUUGGAUGCACCUCUGCAUCUCUAUGUUUCGGUAACAUCAACAAUAUUAACAAGACUCCUUUCAGUAUCGUGAAAGUCGCACAUCACCUGGAGAUGUGAAUGGUGUUUUGGUCAUCUGUUGUCGAUCUGCCACUACUUCGUGCUUGCUGAAUUGAACUGAGUUUUGCCUAGCUCCAAUCCCUAUAGCUGCUUGCUCUGAAGUUUGAACUUUUGCAUGCAUAAACAAUUUUUUAUCAGGAUGGAUUUCUCCUAUAGGGAACUAUUUGUUUAGAAAGAAAUUUGUACGGUCUAUUUAGGUGAAAUUGAACCCUCAACUUUCAGUUUAUACAAAUUUGGAAUGUACAGAGGAUAGCAUCUUUCCAUGAGGCGUCUUUGCAAAUUACAUAUAUUGUUUUGAAUUUUUGUUUACCUUUUUAUGGAAGGAACCAGAAUCCUAAAUAAAUGUAGGACUCCAUAAGUCCCACGAGUGAAUGCUUUUUUCUUCUUUUUUAUAGGUUAGUUAUAUGAUACUAUGCUACUUGUGAAGGUCAUAACCUGCAACCAUUUGUCAGUAAUUGCAUUAUUACUUGAUUUCACCAGUUAUAUGAUACUACUAUGCUACUUGAAUGCUGGAAGCUUUUGGCUGAAAUUAAACCUUUCUCAGUUUUGACUACAAUUUCUACAAGUUGUGCUGACAUCCAGGCUGUAUUAGUAGAUCUAUUUUUACAAGGGACAUAAUUGGCAUCACGUUGUUUUUAUUGAGUAUGUUCAUUUUUUUUGUUUUCCAACUCUUGUAACUAGUUUAUUGCCUUUUAUUCUAUGAAUGCCUGCAUUGCCACAACUAUGAGUAUUGCCUAAGCUGUGUCCAAAUUGCCAUUCCUAAUAUAUAAGGAUUAUGGCUCCACAUAUUUCCUAUUUACUGUUAAACAGAAUCAUAGAUUUUAACUAAUUUGUGUACAGCUGGAACUUAUAGACAUGAAAGGCGAGAACUUUUUUAUCCAGGUUUGUAGGUUCUGUGGAAAUAUUGUUCGAAGCAAUCAUUCUGAAUGUGUUUGUGAACACGCCGUCUUUCUGAUAGUUUGAUAUUGUAUUGCAGGUCUUGCUAGUGUGGAGGAAACCUGAACCUGGACCUUCAAUUUUUUCUGGUGCUGCAAGUGUUUUCAGGUGUUUGUUAAACCAAAACUGCAAGUGUUUUUAGUUGGUAGCUUGGUUCUGCUACACCAUUUUUUGUUGCUUGAUGUGGAACUAUUGUUUGAUUCUUUAAGCAGAGUAUCUAAGACUGUAUACGUUAUUUGGUUUAAUCUGAGAUGAAC
rnacentral:lncRNA from 1 species